UACGUAGGGACCGAGCGUUGUCCGGAAUCAUUGGGCGUAAAGCGCGUGUAGGCGGCCCGAUAAGUCCGCUGUGAGAGUCCAGGGCUCAACCCUGGGAUGCCGGUGGAUACUGUCGGGCUCGAGUCCGGAAGAGGCGAGUGGAAUUCCUGGUGUAGCGGUGAAAUGCGCAGAUAUCAGGAGGAACACCAAUGGCGAAGGCAGCUCGCUGGGACGUGACUGACGCUGAGACGCGAAAGCGUGGGGAGCAAACAGG
rnacentral:rRNA from 1 species